rnacentral:rRNA from 1 species
CCUUCGGGUCGUAAAGCUCUGUCAGUGGGAAAGAAGUGUAGGGCGGCUAAUACCUGCUUUACUUGACGGUACCCACAAAGGAAGCACCGGCUAACUCCGUGC